rnacentral:rRNA from 1 species
AGUGGGGAAUCUUGGACAAUGGGCGAAAGCCUGAUCCAGCCAUGCCGCGUGGAUGAUGAAGGCCCUAGGGUUGUAAAAUCCUUUCGUUGGGGACGAUAAUGACGGUACCCAAAGAAGAAGCUCCGGCUAACUUCGUGCCAGCAGCCGCGGUAAUACGAAGGGGGCUAGCGUUGUUCGGAUUUACUGGGCGUAAAGCGCGUGUAGGCGGACUUGUAAGUUGGGGGUGAAAUCCCGAGGCUCAACCUCGGAACUGCCUCCAAAACUACAAGUCUGGACUCAAGUAGAGGCAAGUGGAAUUGCGAGUGUAGAGGUGAAAUUCGUAGAUAUUCGCAGGAACACCAGUGGCGAAGGCGACUUGCUGGGCUUGUAGUGACGCUGAGACGCGAAAGCGUGGGGAGCAAA